CUUCUUGAAGUGAAUGAGUCGAUGAUUAAGCGCUGACUUAAUGUUAUAAUACAAAACAACUUAUUCAGGGUUUGAGAUAUUGGCGUAAUCUUGCAACCAGCUUCUGAGCCAAGAGGGUCAUGAAUUUUCUGGCAGAAGGUUAAACGACUGAAUACUGCAUUUUCUGAUCAUUCAAUUUCUAGAACCUAUGAGCAGUGCCAGAAAGUUUCUGGAAGAACUUCAUCUUGGUGUAAAAUAAGACGAUCCGCCAACCACGAACUCCCACUUAUCAAUGGAACUAUGUUUGUAGAAGGGUUAUUAUCCUGUACACUCUGUAUCAAACAUUUUAUACAAGCUAGAAGCAUUGCCAGAAGAUUCUAGAAGAACUCAUCUUCGAGUAUUAUAAGACAAUCAACCAUCCACGAAUUUCCACCUAUUUUGCACUUAAAGCACUGCAAUUCGUAGCUAAGAGAUGAAACAUAAGAGAUGUAGUUCUAGAGAAAAGCCAAAAAUUGGAUCAAGAAACAGACUUGUGGAAAAAUAUCAAAUCUUUUGAAUGGUAUACUGCAACUUCGGACAUAAUUAACGUAUAUCGUUUCUUAGGUUGACUCCUUUCCCUAGUAUGUUACUCCAAUCUUUUCU
rnacentral:lncRNA from 1 species